rnacentral:guide_RNA from 1 species
AACAAUCUGGAUAUAACGUAAUAAU